rnacentral:rRNA from 1 species
UACAGAGGUCUCAAGCGUUGCUCGGAUUCAUUGGGCGUAAAGGGCGCGUAGGCGGCGGGGUAAGUCGGGUGUGAAAUCUCAGAGCUCAACUCUGAAACUGCACUCGAUACUGCUCUGCUUGAGGACUGGAGAGGAGACUGGAAUUCACGGUGUAGCAGUGAAAUGCGUAGAUAUCGUGAGGAAGACCAGUGGCGAAGGCGGGUCUCUGGACAGUUCCUGACGCUGAGGCGCGAAGGCCAGGGGAGCAAACGGG